rnacentral:rRNA from 1 species
UACAGAGGUGGCAAGCGUUGUUCGGAAUUACUGGGCGUAAAGGGCGAGUAGGUGGCCAUCUAAGUCAGACGUGAAAUCCCCCGGCUUAACCUGGGAACUGCGUCUGAUACUGGACGGCUAGAGUUUGGGAGAGGGAUGCAGAAUUCCAGGUGUAGCGGUGAAAUGCGUAGAUAUCUGGAGGAACACCGGUGGCGAAGGCGGCUUCCUGGACCGACACUGACGCUGAGGCGCGAAAGCCAGGGGAGCAAACGGG